GGUCGCUUAGCUCAGUUGGUUAGAGCGUGGUGCUAAUAAGUCACAAAUCGCGCCAGAAGAGAGCAAAGUCUCUUCUGGCGCGAUUUGGGAGUAGUAGACGCCAAGGUCGCGAGUUCGACCCUCGUAGUGACCA
rnacentral:tRNA from 1 species